rnacentral:rRNA from 1 species
UGCGUAGGCGGUUUAUUAAGUCAGAUGUGAAAUACCCGAGCUCAACUUGGGAAAUGCAUUUGAAACUGGUAGAGUUGAGUGCAGGAGAGGAAAGCGGAAUUCCUGGUGUAGCGGUGGAAUGCGUAGAUAUCAGGAGGAACACCGGUGGCGAAGGCGGCUUUCUGGACUGUAACUGACGCUGAGGCACGAAAGCGUGGGGAGCGAACAGGAUUAGAUACCCUGGUAGUCCACGCUGUAAACGAUGGAUACUAGGUGUAGGGGGUACGACCCCCCCUGUGCCGGAGUUAACGCAAUAAGUAUCCCGCCUGGGGAGUACGGCCGCAAGGUUGAA